AGCGUUGUUCGGAAUUACUGGGCGUAAAGGGUUCGUAGGUGGCCAAGUAAGUCAGACGUGAAAUCCCUCAGCUUAACUGGGGAACUGCGUCUGAGACUGGAUGGCUUGAGUGCAGGAGAGGAACGCGGAAUUCCAGGUGUAGCGGUGAAAUGCGUAGAUAUCUGGAGGAACACCGGUGGCGAAGGCGGCGUUCUGGACUGCUACUGACACUGAGGAACGAAAGCCAGGGGAGCAAACGGG
rnacentral:rRNA from 1 species